UUUGACAUCCUCAUUUGCAAAUAUCCUUGUAGCGUAUGAUGAUUGAUGAUUGAACAUAAUAACCUGUAUUAAGAAAUAACAAAUAAUUUUAUUUUAUUUUUUUCAUAUAUUGUUAGUUAUCCUAUUGUAAUUAAUUUAUACUAAUUGAAGGGAGAUCCUAGUCAAACCACACAAAUCUCUCAAACACCACAUUUUUAUAGCUUAGCACAAAUAUUCUCAUGAUUUUCUAAGCACACCACAAAUUAAAUUAAAUAAACAAAACUCUCACUUCAUCCCAUUUUUGUUAGGGUGUGUUUGAUUGCAAGUAUUUUCCCAAUGUAAUAAGAAAAUUUAUGUCUUUUCUCAGUGACCAGUGGAAAAUGUGCACUAUUCAUGUGUUUGAUUUGCCAAUUUAAGUAGUGAGAAAAGAAAAUUGUAUUUUCCCACCGUAUAGCUAUUUUUCCAAGUUGCACACGUGGAAGGUAUAGAGAAAAAUUCUCCUCGAAGCCAAAUCCUAAAGGGAUACCUAAUGGCUACUCUCUUUUAUGAGCCUUCCACAAGGACAGGUUUUUUAAACCAUUUAUCUCGGAUCAAAUCAUAAGCAUGUACACAUCCUCCAGAGUAGGUAAAGAGUACAUCGUCUAAAGUGGGAGACCUAAAAGACCAGUAUCCUCUUGUCAAAAGAGGAGUUGUUGAUAAUUGUCCCUAGGAAUUAGUUAUGACGUCAAAAGAAAAUAAGCCAUCCCUCAUACACAAAAGAAUAGUAUCCCCAUUGGCCACAACUGUAAUAUCCAUGCAGCCAAAGCCUUGAGUGACAUAAAGAGGUGGCUCAGGCAGAGGAGAAAACAUGCAUAGUGAAAUUUGGUCAAAAACCUCUGCCCAUGGUUUUGGUAGAGUUGCACCGGCGUUGGAUCCAAAUAUAAAGAUCUUUCCAUGGGUAGCAGCUGCUGCAGGUUGACAUCUUUUGGCAAGCAUACAAAAUCUUUCUUUUUGCCAAGAAACUUGUUGUUGUUUGGUGUUGAAAACAUUAAAAUCAAUAGAAAAUACAUCCGAACAUUCUUUCAGAUCCCAAUCAGGGGGACAAGUAGAAAGAAAGCCACCAAACAUAAAGAGUUUAGACCCGAGCAAAGCUGAUGCACAACAUCUGCCUAUACCAGAAGAAGACGGAAUUGUACAAAUUGGGUUAAAGUUGGUAACCAUUGUAUUUUUAUCCGCCGUGAUCGUGGUCGUUAUUGUUGUGUUGUUGCUAGUGUUUAUGUGGUACCAGUGUAUAUCAUUGGAAGAGCAAUGGGAAUUAAAACGUAAUAAUAAGUUUUUUAAUUCAUCGGGUGGCGAGCAUGAACAUGAGCUGCUGUUGGGUGGAGGAGAUUUAAAUGAACAACUAGAUAUUGAUAAAUUUCUCUUUAUUACCUUGUAAUCUAGCCUUUUAUCAUCAUAAUCAUAAUCAUCUUCAUCUUCACUUCUUCUACUACUUUUCCUCUUCUCUUCCCUGCUGUUGGAUUCUCCAUUUCGGCCUCUUUCCCCUAAUUCCCUCUUCAUAUUGAAACUGUUGUUGAGUAAGGUUUUUUUUUUUAUAUGGCGAAGAGUUUGAACAAAAUCGAGUGAUGAAUAAUAAAAUCGAGCGACACCAAAAUUUAUAGAACUAGGUUGGAGACGAGACGAGACCGCCGCACAUUAAAGCCGUGCCCGAUUGGAUUUGGAAUUUGGAAUAUUCUUCUUCCUCUAAUCCUCUUUCAAUCCAUCCACUUAAUUAUAAACACACGGUUUCCUCAAAACUUGACAGAUGGGCUUUUUUUUUAAGACCAAACUACCCUUGUCAGAGGGAGAACUCAUGAUGAAUAAUAAAAUCGAGCAGCACCAAAUUUAUAGAACUAGGUUGGAGACGAGACCGUAGCACAUUAAAGCCGUGCCCGAUUGGAUUUGGAAUUUGGAAUACUCUUCUUCCUCUAAUCCUCUUUCAAUCCAUCCACUUAAUUAUAAACACACGGUUUCUUCAAAACUUGACAGAUGGGCUUUUAGUUUUAAGACCAAACUACCCUUGUCAGAGGGAGAACUCUCCGAUAAGUGAUAUAAAUAAAUAAGUACAAUAAUAACAUAUCGGUACUGUAUAUCGGUAUUACCUUGCCGACCAAACUUCAUCUCUUACUCCUACAUGUAUCAUUUGCUUCUCUAUCUCAGUCAUCAAUCUAACUCUACUUUUUUUUUUUUUUUUUUAAUUCUAAACCAGCAAUUCAAAAUAAACAUCUUCAAAAUAUUUCUUUGAUUUAAUUUUUGUUUUAAUUUCUUUGUAACUUCAAUUUGCAUUGGGUUUUGAUUUUGAUUCCACAUUUUUUGUCGCUAAAAGUCUCCAUUCAAUUGGACUCACUUAAUAAUAGUAUUUGGAGAGAGUUUUUUUUUUAUUUUUUUUUUAUUGAUUUCUAUAUGAAACUUUGUGUUGGAAUCUUAUUCAUUAGCAUAUUACUGAGUUUGGUCACCAUUUUAUUAUUUGAAUUUUAGUGAAUGAAUAUUUUGAUUGUUGUUUGUUUUGUUAUCAUUUUUAGGAAUCAUCAACAGAAUCAAUAUUGAUUUGGAUUGGUUUGUGUAAUUGAGAUGGCACUUUCAUCUUCCCUUACUAUGUAUAAGGCCAGCAUGAUUGUUCCAAACAGAGCUGCUGUUUCUACAGCAAAAUUUAGGGGCCAAGGGAUUAUGUGUUCUUUAUCAACUCUCAUUUCACACAACCUUCUUCUUUCUAAAUCCGUUUCUGCUGAUCUCAAACGAUCUAAUUUUUUCCCAAAUGAGGAACAAUUGUUCGGUAAGAAUGGAAUUUGCUGUCAUGCUUUGGAAACUGAAAAGGCCUUUGGUACUGCUGAAAAAGCCAUUGAAUUCUCAAAGGGAAACAAAUUUCAGCUUGACGAUAUCUUGGAUGCUCAACAGUUUGAUAGAGAUAUAUUAACUGCUAUUUUCCAAGUGGCACACGAUAUGGAAGGUAUUGAGAAAAAUUCACCUGGAAGCCAAAUCCUAAAGGGAUACCUAAUGGCUACUCUAUUUUAUGAGCCUUCCACAAGGACCCGCCUUUCUUUUGAAUCUGCCAUGAAACGGUUGG
rnacentral:lncRNA from 1 species